AUAGAAUAUAAAAGUAAACAAAAAAUACACAGAAAAGUAAAAAAUCUCAAAAGUACACAGUGGUUACUUAUUGUAGUAGAUAGAUUCACUUCUGGUGCUGGUUCCAAAGUUCCAAAUUCCAUCUUCAUCACAAUUCCAAUAAAGAACCACACUUUUUAAUCAGUAAGCUCCAAAUCAUUUCAACAGGUACGGUGGAUCCUUAAAAGUACUCCAUUUAUUGAAAAAUGUGCAAAAUGGAAUAGAAAAUACUCAAAGACCUCAAAAGUAACAUGUGAUCAAGAAGACACCCUGCAUAAGUUACAAGAACAAGUUUUAAAAAAAUUACCUGUGAGAAGGGGGAUAAAAAAAGAAGUAAUGAAGGCUCUCGCUUUUCUUGUUUGGAAUUCUGCAGAAGCUUUCAUUCACUACAGUUUGAUUCAAGCAGGCAUAUGUUAGUCAUGCAAUGGAAUUAGAUUAACCCCUUAAGGAAGGCAGGUGUUCUAUGCCAUCCUUACUAAGGUAUAGUAAUCUGAUAGAACACCAGUGGGCGGCAUAGAAUGUCCCCCACCAUCCUUAUUACUUACCGGCUCCUUGCCAUUCCCCCACUGGUGGUCGUAAUCCUGGGGACUGCAUGACAUCCCAUGCAGUCCCCCUUCAGUUGAUCCGGUCUCCCGGGCCAUGUGAGUCCUUGCAAUCACAUGGCCAGAAUGGCUGUCUGCAGCUCUGCCUGCAGGGUUACUGUCUGGGAUAUAAGGCCCCAUGUGCCUGAAAUUGCAUUUUUAAAAGUUUAAUAAAAGUUUAAUCAAAGUUUAUAAAUUAAGUAAAAGUACAUACACAGG